rnacentral:tRNA from 1 species
GGGCUGGGGCUCAGCGGUAGAGCACUCGCCUCGCAUGUGUGAGGCACUGGGUUCGAUCUUCAGGACCA